AGCUUUAGUUGUUUUUUUUCUCUCACUCGUGGUUGGGAUGGAAAAAACGCCCAGGACACAUUCCUAAAAGUCCGUUACGCCGUUUUACAAAGUGGGCCGUCAUCAGGACCCGUAGCUAUAAUGGCGGUCCCUACACGGAACAGUGGCGGUUACAGUUUAGGAAAAUGAGACAAUCCUCCCAUGGUAAGUGCUGCUCCCGGCCACUUGUAGUGAGGUACGGUCGGCUUGCCCAGUCAGUCACUAUGACCGCUACCGCUGGAAGCCUUUAGACAGGGCACGGAAUGAAGAGCUCCAUGUCCAGGCCCGGUUGUUGGAUAAAAGCCUUUUUAACAAUCAACGGAAUAAUGGCGUCUUCGGCGACGAUUCCCUACUGGACUUUUUGAAGGUAGCAGACGUCAGCUUUAUUAGAGAGGUUGGUAGCAGACGUCAGCUUUCUUAGAGAGGUUGGUAGC